rnacentral:rRNA from 1 species
GACGAACGCUGGCGGCGUGCUUAACACAUGCAAGUCGAGCGGAAAGGCCCUUCGGGGUACUCGAGCGGCGAACGGGUGAGUAACACGUGAGUAACCUGCCCCAGACUUUGGGAUAACCCUCGGAAACGGGGGCUAAUACCGGAUACGACACAGCUUCGCAUGGGGUCUGUGUGGAAAGUUUUUCGGUUUGGGAUGGGCUCGCGGCCUAUCAGCUUGUUGGUGGGGUGAUGGCCUACCAAGGCGACGACGGGUAGCCGGCCUGAGAGGGCGACCGGCCACACUGGGACUGAGACACGGCCCAGACUCCUACGGGAGGCAGCAGUGGGGAAUAUUGCACAAUGAGCGGAAGCCUGAUGCAGCGACGCCGCGUGAGGGAUGACGGCCUUCGGGUUGUAAACCUCUUUCAGCAGGGACGAAGCGUAAGUGACGGUACCUGCAGAAGAAGCGCCGGCCAACUACGUG